rnacentral:rRNA from 1 species
UCCUGCCACGUGUGUUUUAACAAGUUCUCUGAUGAUCUCGGAAGCUAAGCAGAGUCAGGCCUGGUUAGUACUUGGAUGGGAGACCACCUAGGAAGACCAGGUGUUGUAGGCA